GUGAAUCAUCGAAUCUUUGAACGCACCUUGCACCCUCUGGUAUUCCGGAGGGUAUGCCUGUCUGAGUGUCUAUGUCAAUCAUCAUCCCGACGGGUUCUGCCCGGCGGGGUUGGAGUUGGGCGCUGCCAUCCGUGGCUCGCCUCAAAUGCAUUGGUGGCUCUUGGUCGGCCCUUCAUCUGGCGUGAUACGUUUCGCCGGGGGAUGGGGUCGUCCGGCCUCCUUGAAACCGCCUGCUUGCAGGAAGCACCGAUUGACCUCAGAUCAGGUAGGACUACCCGCUGAACUUAAGCAUAUCAAUAAGCGGAGGA
rnacentral:misc_RNA from 1 species